UGAUGCCUCGCUUUCAAGAUGACCAAAUGAUACUCCCGAGCAGACCAGCCGCGGUGACAGCUGAGCUUCCAGUUUACCGAGGGGGAGACUUCUGCGCCGACCUUCAGCACACACGAACGAAACAAACAUGACACGCUCAGGACAGGACACGAGCUGGCCGGUAAAGCAGCACUAGCAGCGGAGCCUUUCGUUUGAUGGGGAUACGCUGCAGGAGCCAUUCUACGCAACACGUCAAAUUCGGAGAGAACAGCCUCAGCAGCAAUUCAUAACCUUCAGCACAAGUCAGAGUCGAUGCCCUGGAUACCUGCGUUUUCUCCCUGAGCCACCAGGGGGCCUCAGUGUCACAGCGGAACACACAACCCUGACUUAGUCUUCACCCUGAACUCUCCCUCCCAAGUCAAGCUGUCCCAUCCUGCCUCAACGCCCCUCUCUUCUCCUCGAGCAUCUCUUUCUCCUCCCUCCUGGCCCCCACAGGCCC